rnacentral:rRNA from 1 species
GACGAACGCUGGCGGCGUGCUUAACACAUGCAAGUCGAGCGGUAAGGCCCUUUCGGGGGUACACGAGCGGCGAACGGGUGAGUAACACGUGGGUGACCUGCCCUUAGCUCUGGGAUAAGCCUGGGAAACUGGGUCUAAUACCGGAUAUGACCUCAUGACUCAUGUUGUGGGGUGGAAAGCCUUGUGCGGCUAGGGAUGGGCCCGCGGUCUAUCAGCUUGUUGGUGGGGUAAUUGCCUACCAAGGCGACGACGGGUAGCCGGCCUGAGAGGGCGACCGGCCACACUGGGACUGAGACACGGCCCAGACUCCUACGGGAGGCAGCAGUGGGGAAUCUUGCGCAAUGGGCGAAAGCCUGACGCAGCGACGCCGCGUGAGGGAUGACGGCCUGGU